AUUGAACGCUGGCGGCAGGCCUAACACAUGCAAGUCGAACGAGUGGCGGACGGGUGAGAAAUGUCUGGGAAACUGCCCGAUGGAGGGGGAUAACUACUGGAAACGGUAGCUAAUACCGCAUACCAUCUGAUGUGCCCAGAUGGGUUUAGCUAGUAGGUGGGGUAACGGCUCACCUAGGCGAGGAUACCUAGCUGGUCUGAGAGGAUGACCAGCCACACUGGAACUGAGACACGGUCCAGACUCUGACGGGGGGCAGCAGUGGGGAAUAUUGCACAAUGGGGGCAAUCCUGAUGCAGCCAUGCCGCGUGUAGGAAGAGGGCCUUCGGGUUGUAAGGUACUUUCAGCGAGGAGGCGUUACUCGCAGAGGAAGCACCGGCUAACUCCGUGCCAGCAGCCGCGGUAAUUC
rnacentral:rRNA from 1 species